rnacentral:lncRNA from 1 species
AAGUGGUUCGCCCACUGGUAACGUGACAAGAAUUGGAGUUCCGCACCGAGGAUGAUCGCAUCGCCCACUAGGACUCUGCUUUUUACAAGGACCAGGAUGCAAAAUUCGGCCAGAGGCAAUUACUUCAGGUAAAUAUUUGCUUGAAACCCCUUGAUGCUUCAAUAUGUUUAGUACCUUUGUUUGUCUUUGUACUUGAUACCACAGACUCAUAUCCUCCCAAGAGGGCUCGAGUCUGGAUGGAUGGGCACCAACAUACAAUGUUAACAACUGUGUGGGGUAAUCUAGAGAAAUAGCACCAUAGAGAAAAUAGUUGCCUCCUAUGAAGGACUCCUGUAUCUGGAAACUUUUCUGGCCCUGUUGCUGAUCCUCCAAGAGCAAUAUUUCUCCCUGCCUAAGCUUCAAGUGUGUUGUAUUUUUUACCAGGGGAUUAUCACUGUGAUCAAGUUCAACAAUCUCUCCAUGUUGGUAGCCAUCCUGUUGAUAAGGUAUUUUGGCAUUUUCAUUCUCAGCUAGGCGGCAUUCUAUUCUACGCUUCUGAAGACGAAGGCUAUGAGCUGAGGCCAAUGAGGAUAUUGACUUUCUUGGUGGUCCAUUACACUGGACAAUGGAAUAGAAAGUAGCUAACAAUACUUGAAGAGUCCCCA